UGCACCUGCAACUGUGUAGGGCCGGCUGGUAUUGUCUGGCUUCCAGAAGACUGCACACUGGCACAACUGGCUGGAGCCGUUUGGAACCACUUUCCAAUCUUGGGUUAAACCGGAGAUCCGCUUCAAAACCGAAGAUUUCAACGUGAAUUACAAACCACGUUCCGGAUGGCCAUAAGAUAAACGAACCACGAUGAGCUGCUGCAGGCACUUUCCCGACAGCGAAAUUCAGCGCAAUCGACCCGAGAGCUCACUGUAACAGAGGCCGAAGUUCGCAAAUAUGUUGACGAAUGGAUCGCUUCCAAGGACGAAGCCUUUUUACUUCGCAUGAUACAUCAACUACCGGAAAAGUAAAAAAAGGAGCGAAAAUCGUUGGAAGCGAAGGGAACCACUUAGACUUAAGAUGUAUUCGCUUGUUCGAAAGUUAUAAUAAAUUUAAGUGGCUAACAAGUAAUGGGAACCCCUUAUUCAACUUACAUAUACUAUAACUUAUUCGUAGCAAGUUAUUCAUUAUUUUACGUUACUGGUUAUCUUGAAUAAAUAGGCUACUGUUGACGAUCAAACUCACACCCAUGAUCAAAAUUACAGAAAACUGUUCUAGAUUAAUAAACACGACUUGUAGUACAUAUGUCUAGUAAGCAGCAGACCUAUAAUGAGUUGAAAAAUUGUCUAGCAUCAGCCGAUCAAUACAAAAGUAUCGGACGCAACAGCCACUUCUUCAUCCCAUUCCUAUACGUACACAGGGUGUUCAGUCUGUCUAAUCCCGCUUAAAUUAUGGUAUACUCCUCAAAUUGUUUUUGCAAAAAACUCCAUAUUCCAACUAAUCUGUUUUGGAUGUGCUUAAAGCUCUGCUCAUUUCUAUUCCAGCUUCAAUUGAAAACCUAAAUUAUCCAUAGUCAUUCUUAAAAUUUUCCCUAGUUUGCAAAUAAUGUUUUAAUAAUAACUAUGCGUCAAACAUAUGAUUAAAGUA